CCUACGGGGUGCUGCAGUGGGGAAUAUUGGACAAUGGGCGAAAGCCUGAUCCAGCCAUGCCGCGUGUGUGAAGAAGGCCUUCGGGUUGUAAAGCACUUUCAGUGGGGAAGAAAGCCUUGGGGCUAAUACCCUCGAGGAAGGACAUCACCCACAGAAGAAGCACCGGCUAACUCCGUGCCAGCAGCCGCGGUAAUACGGAGGGUGCGAGCGUUAAUCGGAAUUACUGGGCGUAAAGCGCGCGUAGGCGGUCUGAUAAGCCGGUUGUGAAAGCCCCGGGCUCAACCUGGGAACGGCAUCCGGAACUGUCAGGCUAGAGUGCAGGAGAGGAAGGUAGAAUUCCCGGUGUAGCGGUGAAAUGCGUAGAGAUCGGGAGGAAUACCAGUAGCGAAGGCGGCCUUCUGGACUGACACUGACGCUGAGGUGCGAAAGCGUGGGUAGCAAACAGGAUUAGAUACCCGAGUAGUC
rnacentral:rRNA from 1 species